GGCAGCCGUUCGAGUUUUAUCUCCGUUCGCCAUCACUUACAGGCACCACCGACCGCUCUCAGGACACCGUCCUAUGCCUCACCUACACAUUCGAGAAUGGAACAUUUGCGCAGGCACAAUAUGGCGACACCGUUCCAGCAACAUGUCCCGCUGGAUACGAACGCACAGCUUUCGCAUUCGCGAAGUGUACCUUCAGGAACGGCAUUUACGGCUGGUCUAACGUCAACUCUAUCCCUCUGGACAAGAUGUGCGCCAAGAACACCCUUCUUGGAACAUAUACCGUAGGUGCACCAGCAG